CUAAACAUCCUGGGCAUUUCCAGCAAAUCUCAGCAGAUGAUGAGAAGGAUUGGGAUAAUUAUUGCAGCUGAGACCUACAGUGCUCAUGAUUAGAAUAAUCAGUUUAUUCACCACUCAACAGCCAGACUCUUUAUAAAACGCCUACCACUAGGAUCCUCACCGUGAUUUGGCUUCCCACAGUGACAAAGGACAGGCUGGGUCAGGCUGACCCAAAUGCCUGCUACACCUGGCACUUAGCGUCUCAUUAUAAAUCCAUCAUUUGGCAUUCUGCUUUAUCCCCUCCAGUCUCCUCUGAGUGAGUCAGCUUGCAGAGAGAGUCCCAGUAACUCUGGGUCCCUGAUGGGAUCAAGUUUCUGAACCUUUAAGACCAGACCCUGGACAGCAGCUACUUCUGUAAUAUGUUGCUGCCUGUGAAGGUUCUCAGCAGCUGGCCAGCUGGUCCUUCCCAAGCACCACCCAGCUUUACUGUAAGAUUUGCUGAGCGUUUUCCCCAGACCCAGCAAUUCCACUUAGAGGAGUUUAUAUUAAGGAGAUAAUUGGAUAAAUAUGUAAAGAUGUAUGUAGAAAAGUACUCAUUAUUGCAUUGUCAUCUCCCCUCUUCCUCAGCUGGAUGUGGUGGUGGUGGUACUUUCGUAUCCAAUGCUGUCGCCCGAGUGUGGGUAGCCGCUAGAGCCCCCCAGGCCCCACCUCAUAUAGCACCAUGGGAAUUAAUUGAUGGUGCUGUCUCUUAUGAUAAUUAUGAAGGAGUGCUAGCAACAGAGUAGCAGUUGGUUAAGUAAUCUGUACCCUGG